UCAAACUUGGUCAUUUAGAGGAAGUAAAAGUCGUAACAAGGUUUCCGUAGGUGAACCUGCGGAAGGAUCAUUAUUGAAAACAAACUCGGUCGAGGGUUGUAGCUGGUCUCUUCGAGGCAUGUGCACGCCCUUUGGCUGAUUAUCCAUCACACCCUUUGUGCACCUUUGCGCAGAGUUUCUUGGUUCCUCUAUGGUUCCCUGAGCUUGCGCUUUUUCUACAAACUCUACUGUAUGUUUUUGAAUGUUUUGUACGACGAUAUUGUACAUAAUACAACUUUCAACAACGGAUCUCUUGGCUCUCGCAUCGAUGAAGAACGCAGC
rnacentral:misc_RNA from 1 species